ensembl:lncRNA
CUAAGCAUGGGUCAGUUUGGUGUUUUUAAAGUGUGAAAAAAGUACAGUGUAGUGUAAGAAGUGGGUAUUGCCUGUUUGUCAGGGUCAAGAUUGCUUGACAUAAUGAUAUAUUAUUGCCAUUGCUGGCCAAUGGAUGUAAAGGGCAGUAAUAAUAGAAUCACAGUGCUUGAAAAUAACCAUUCGUGGAGCACUUUUUCUUCCAGAUGAAGUCGAAUGCAAGGCCUAGAUCUUUGGCAUAUUCCUCUUCAUAUCCCACCAAGAGCUCCUGUCCUGGUUUGAUGGCUUGACAGCAACGGUACAGAAUUCCUCCUCUAUAUUGGCAUGCCAUGAGAUUCUGCUCUUCAUCGUUACGAGCACAAUUCACAUAUCUGAGAUAAUGAGACAGAAAGACAGCACAAGAGAGAACAGAUGGAAGAGAAAGAGAUGGGAAGACACCAGUUAGAAGCAAGGGGCAGACAAAGAUUUUCUAUUAAUAAAUAACUAGACAGUUGACCCAACAGACAGACCACCAAAGUAUUUCUUACCUCAUCCAGUUAGCAUACAUCUCUCUCUUGGCAUCUAUGUAUUCCUCAUAUUGCUUGUUCUUAUAUCACCCAGGAGUAGCCACUGUUCACUGCUUCUUCUCUGUCCACCAGAUCUCCCUGGUAGGGCCCAAAGUGUGCACCAACAGGAACAGUCUCCCCCUUAUUAAACACUCCCAGACCUGCAUCAGGAAUACCAGACUGCCGAACCUCUAGACAAGGUGGAAGGGUCUGUCUGGCUCGGUCAAUGACCCCCAUAGUAACAGGUGUAUCAAUGAUGAAGUGAGCUGGACCGUGAACUUCACAUUUGUUGAUGUAAAAGGAUCUGCAAUCUUCACAAUCUGGAAGAAGAGGACACAACUAAUUCUCAACCUAUUUUAUUUCUACUUCCUUUAUUGCUAGGCUUCUUACUUCGUAAUUACAAAAUGAUGUCAUGCUUUGACAUCCUCUUUUCUUAAUCUUUACUUAGUUUUAGUGUACAAUCUGCUUGGCUCUGUUGGAUUCAUUAUCGUCUAGAUCAGUGUUUCUCAGUUCUGGCCCUGCCAUCCCUCUGCCCUGCACAUUUUGGAACUUUCCCAGAUCUACAAGAGAUGAG